GACGAACGCUGGCGGCGUGCUUAACACAUGCAAGUCGAACGGAAAGGCCCUGCUUUUGUGGGGUGCUCGAGUGGCGAACGGGUGAGUAACACGUGAGUAACCUGCCCUUGACUUUGGGAUAACUUCAGGAAACUGGGGCUAAUACCGGAUAGGAGCUCCUGCUGCAUGGUGGGGGUUGGAAAGUUUCGGCGGUUGGGGAUGGACUCGCGGCUUAUCAGCUUGUUGGUGGGGUAGUGGCUUACCAAGGCUUUGACGGGUAGCCGGCCUGAGAGGGUGACCGGCCACAUUGGGACUGAGGUACGGCCCAGACGGCAACGGGAGGCAGCGGGGGGGAAUAUUGCACAAUGGGCGGAAGCCGGAUGCAGCAACGCCGCGUGCGGGAUGACGGCCUUCGGGUUGUAAACCGCUUUCGCCUGUGACGAAGCGUGAGUGACGGUAAUGGGUAAAAAAGCACCGGCUAACUACGUG
rnacentral:rRNA from 1 species